UGGGGAAUAUUGCGCAAUGGGCGAAAGCCUGACGCAGCGACGCCGCGUGAGGGAUGAAGGUUUUCGGAUCGUAAACCUCUGUCAGAAGGGAAGAAACUACGUUGUGCUAAUCAGCAGCGUACUGACGGUACCUUCAAAGGAAGCACCGGCUAACUCCGUGCCAGCAGCCGCGGUAAUACGGAGGGUGCCAGCGUUAAUCGGAAUUACUGGGCGUACAGCGCACGUAGGCUGUAGUGUAAGUCAGGGGUGAAAUCCCACGGCUCAACCGUGGAACUGCCCUGGAUACUGCACAACUUGAAUCCGGGAGAGGGUGGCGGAAUUCCAGGUGGAGGAGUGAAAUCCGUAGAUAUCUGGAGGAACAGCAGUGGCGAAGGCGGCCACCUGGACCGGUAUUGACGCUGAGGUGCGAAAGCGUGGGGAGCAAACA
rnacentral:rRNA from 1 species